CAACCUGAGAGUUUGAUCCUGGCUCAGAGCGAACGCUGGCGGCAGGCCUAAUACAUGCAAGUCGAGCGGCCCUUCGGGGCAGCGGCGGACGGGUGAGUAACGCGUGGGAAUAUGCCCUUUGGUACGGAACAACCCAGGGAAACUUGGGCUAAUACCGUAUGUGCCCUACGGGGGAAAGAUUUAUCGCCAUUGGAGUAGCCCGCGUUGGAUUAGCUUGUUGGUGAGGUAAAGGCUCACCAAGGCUACGAUCCAUAGCUGGUCUGAGAGGAUGAUCAGCCACACUGGGACUGAGACACGGCCCAGACUCCUACGGGAGGCAGCAGUAGGGAAUCUUGCGCAAUGGGCGAAAGCCUGACGCAGCCAUGCCGCGUGUAUGAUG
rnacentral:rRNA from 1 species